GGCGGAGUAGCUCAGUUGGUCAGAGCACACGGCUCAUACCCGUGGCGUCGCCGGUUCGAGUCCGGCCUCCGCUA
rnacentral:tRNA from 1 species